rnacentral:rRNA from 1 species
UACGUAGGGUGCAAGCAUUAAUCGGAUUUAUUGGGCGUAAAGGGCGCGUAGGCGGGGAGGAAAGUUAAAUGUGAAAUCCCGGGGCUCAACCUCGGAACUGCAUUUAAAACUUCCUCUCUAGAGGAUAAGCGGAGAAAAUGGAAUUCCACGUGUAGCGGUGAAAUGCGUAGAUAUGUGGAGGAACACCGGUGGCGAAGGCGAUUUUCUAGCUUAGACCUGACGCUGAGGCGCGAAAGCAAGGGUAGCAAACAGG